rnacentral:rRNA from 1 species
GACGAACGCUGGCGGCGUGCUUAACACAUGCAAGUCGAACGGAAAGGCCCUGCUUUCGUGGGGUGCUCGAGUGGCGAACGGGUGAGUAACACGUGAGUAACCUGCCCUUGACUUUGGGAUAACUUCAGGAAACUGGGGCUAAUACCGGAUAGGAGCUCCAGCCGCAUGGUGGGGGUUGGAAAGUUUCGGCGGUUGGGGAUGGACUCGCGGCUUAUCAGCUUGUUGGUGGGGUAGUGGCUUACCAAGGCUUUGACGGGUAGCCGGCCUGAGAGGGUGACCGGCCACAUUGGGACUGAGAUACGGCCCAGACUCCUACGGGAGGCAGCAGUGGGGAAUAUUGCACAAUGGGCGGAAGCCUGAUGCAGCAACGCCGCGUGCGGGAUGACGGCCUUCGGGUUGUAAACCGCUUUCGCCUGUGACGAAGCGUGAGUGACGGUAAUGGGUGAAGAAGCACCGGCUAACUACGUG